AUUCUCGCGACUGGUUGAUUACAGGAGAAAUUCUGAAUUACUCAAUCACAAUAGAAUUCAUAGCUUGUGUUAUGGAGACCGGUAAUAAUAAAGGAGUUUGUAUACGGGAUGAAGUAUUUGUUUACGAUGGUACAAACACAAGCGCAACUCUACUCAAACACACUUGUUGUGGACUUGGUGACACAACACCGUUCCAAGUGUAUAGCACAUACGGUUAUAUGUAUGUUCUUUUUCAAACUGACGACGUAAUUACCAAGGAAGGUUUUCGUAUAAGUUAUAUACUGGAGGGAGCGCCAACGACAACUGCACGAGUAAUCACAAGUACAAACCUUGAUAGUAAAUUACCAAUUUAUAUAGCUAUUGGAUGUGCCUUACUUGCAGUUACAGCUAUGAUAAUUAUUUGUGUUGUAUGCUAUUUCAAGUGGAAGAAAUCCAACGACAAUAAAAUCAGAAGCCAUGAAAAUGAUGAAAUAAAAGCAUAACAGAUUCGAAAAACAAACACAAAGAAGAGGAGAUCAUCAUAAGAUUUAAAAAAAUCUAUUACUGUUUUAUUAAUAGUGAUUACCUAAUUCGAUGCCAAUAUAAGAGUGUAAGACGAGAUUAUUAAAAUAUCAGAUGGCAAAAUACUUUGAUUAAAUUGAAAGGAUAUGUAGGGCAUACGUCAAUGAAAUAGCAAUCCCACGACACACUAUACAAACGACCAAAAAUAUGUCAGUAUGCAGUAUUCAACCAAAGUUAUGUGUCACAGUUGUCGUUAUUGUCUCUAUCAAAUUGAUUAACAGAUUCCUUGUGAUUCAGCGUUGAAUAUAGGACAAAGACACUAAUGUUUGAUACAAUGUAUGUCUUUGUUUGUCGGUCCUUAUGUUGUUGGGUCAGUGACAACU